rnacentral:rRNA from 1 species
GAUGAACGCUGGCGGCGUGCCUAAUACAUGCAAGUAGAACGCUGAAGGAGGAGCUUGCUCUUCUGGAUGAGUUGCGAACGGGUGAGUAACGCGUAGGUAACCUGCCUGGUAGCGGGGGAUAACUAUUGGAAACGAUAGCUAAUACCGCAUGACAACAGUUAUUGCAUGAUAACUGUUUAAAAGGGGCAACUGCUCCACUACCAGAUGGACCUGCGUUGUAUUAGCUAGUUGGUGAGGUAACGGCUCACCAAGGCGACGAUACAUAGCCGACCUGAGAGGGGGAUCGGCCACACUGGGAAUGAGACACGGCCCAGACUCCUACGGGAGGCAGCAGUAGGGAAUCUUCGGCAAUGGACGGAAGUCUGACCGAGCAACGCCGCGUGAGUGAAGAAGGUUUUCGGAUCGUAAAGCUCUGUUGUAAGAGAAGAACGAGUGUGAGAGUGGAAAGUUCACACUGUGACGGUAUCUUACCAGAAAGGGACGGCUAACUACGUG